CGGCGGACGGGUGAGUAACGCGUGGGUAACCUGCCUCAUACAGGGGGAUAACAGUUGGAAACGGCUGCUAAUACCGCAUAAGCGCACAGUACCGCAUGGUACGUGUGAAAAACUCCGGUGGUAUGAGAUGGACCCGCGUCUGAUUAGGUAGUUGGUGGGGUAACGGCCUACCAAGCCGACGAUCAGUAGCCGACCUGAGAGGGUGACCGGCCACAUUGGGACUGAGACACGGCCCAA
rnacentral:rRNA from 1 species